rnacentral:rRNA from 1 species
GACGAACGCUGGCGGCGUGCUUAACACAUGCAAGUCGAACGAGAUCCAUUCAGUAGCAAUACUGAUGAAGAUCUAGUGGCGAACGGGUGCGUAAGACGUGAGGAACUUGUCCCGGUCUCUGGGAUAACAGUUGGAAACGACUGCUAAUACCGGAUGACGUCGGAACUUCGCAUGGAGUACUGACGAAAGGGUUACUGGAUCGGGAGAGCCUCGCGGCCUAUCAGCUUGUUGGUGGGGUAAUGGCCUACCAAGGCAUCGACGGGUAGCUGGUCUGAGAGGAUGAUCAGCCACACUGGGACUGAGACACGGCCCAGACUCCUACGGGAGGCAGCAGUGGGGAAUCUUGCACAAUGGGCGAAAGCCUGAUGCAGCAACGCCGCGUGCGGGAAGAAGGCCCUCGGGUUGUAAACCGCUUUCAGAAGGAACGAAACUGACGGUACUUUCAG